rnacentral:rRNA from 1 species
CCAGACAGCCAGGAUGUUGGCUUAGAAGCAGCCAUCAUUUAAAGAAAGCGUAAUAGCUCACUGGUCGAGUCGGCCUGCGCGGAAGAUGUAACGGGGCUAAACCAUGCACCGAAGCUGCGGCAGCGACGCUUAUGCGUUGUUGGGUAGGGGAGCGUUCUGUAAGCCUGUGAAGGUGGGCUGUGAGGCUUGCUGGAGGUAUCAGAAGUGCGAAUGCUGACAUAAGUAACGAUAAAGCGGGUGAAAAGCCCGCUCGCCGGAAGACCAAGGGUUCCUGUCCAACGUUAAUCGGGGCAGGGUGAGUCGACCCCUAAGGCGAGGCCGAAAGGCGUAGUCGAUGGGAAACAGGUUAAUAUUCCUGUACUUGGUGUUACUGCGAAGGGGGGACGGAGAAGGCUAUGUUGGCCGGGCGACGGUUGUCCCGGUUUAAGCGUGUAGGCUGGUUUUCCAGGCAAAUCCGGAAAACCAAGGCUGAGGCGUGAUGACGAGGCACUACGGUGCUGAAGCAACAAAUGCCCUGCUUCCAGGAAAAGCCUCUAAGCAUCAGGUAACAUCAAAUCGUACCCCAAACCGACACAGGUGGUCAGGUAGAGAAUACCAAGGCGCUUGAGAGAACUCGGGUGAAGGAACUAGGCAAAAUGGUGCCGUAACUUCGGGAGAAGGCACGCUGAUAUGUAGGUGAAGCGACUUGCUCGUGGAGCUGAAAUCAGUCGAAGAUACCAGCUGGCUGCAACUGUUUAUUAAAAACACAGCACUGUGCAAACACGAAAGUGGACGUAUACGGUGUGACGCCUGCCCGGUGCCGGAAGGUUAAUUG